rnacentral:rRNA from 1 species
GAUUAUGGCUCAGAACGAACGCUGGCGGCAUGGAUUAGGCAUGCAAGUCGAACGAAGCAGCAAUGCUUAGUGGCGCAAGGGUGAGGAACACGUGAGUGACCUACCCGCAAGUUUGGAACAGCUCCUGGAAACGGGAAUUAAUACCGGAUGUGAUCAUGAAGCUGCAUGGUUUCAUGAUUAAAGCAGCAAUGCGCUUGCGGAUGGGCUCGCGUCCCAUUAGCUAGUUGGUGAGGUAACGGCCCACCAAGGCCAUGAUGGGUAGCUGGUCUGAGAGGACGACCAGCCACACUGGGACUGAGAACUGCCCAGAUUCCUACGGGAGGCUGCAGUCGAGAAUUUUGGGCAAUGGACGAAAGUCUGACCCAGCAAUGCCGCGUGCGGGAUGAAGGUCUUCGGAUUGUAAACCGCUGUUUGGAGGGACGAAAAUUGACGGUACUUCCAGAGGAAGCCACGGCUAACUACGUGCCAGCCGCUGC